rnacentral:lncRNA from 1 species
UUUUUAAUUUUAUUUCCUUCCCUUCUGACUAUGGAAACCUGCUUAUUAUUCUUAUCUACAUUUUGCAGAUGAAGACAUUGAGGCUCAAAGAGUUUGAGUGACUUCCCUGAGGUCCUACAGCCAGGACCUGGUGGAGCUGGGAUAGAACCCAAGCUUCCAGCUGAUGGUCCUCUGCACUUUCUCCCACACCUGUUGGCUUCCUGUACUCCUAAAGAAUCCAAGGUGUCCCUUGGGCACCUACCCUUUAUCAGCACAUCUGCUCAACUCAUUGUGGGUGUCGUCUAGUUCUGCCACUAAACUGAUUUCUAAACCUGCCAAUGGCACAACUGGGAGUGGUGGCUGAUGCCUACAACCACAACACUUUGGGAGACCAAGGUGGGAGGAUUGCUUGUGACCAGGAGUUUGAGACCAGCCUGGACAACAUGGUGAG